rnacentral:rRNA from 1 species
GACGAACGCUGGCGGCGUGCUUAACACAUGCAAGUCGAACGAUGAAGCUGGAGCUUGCUCCGGUGGAUUAGUGGCGAACGGGUGAGUAACACGUGAGCAAUCUGCCCUUGACUCUGGGAUAACUGCGGGAAACUGUAGCUAAUACCGGAUAUGAGGCUUGGAGGCAUCUCCAGGUCUGGAAAGAAUUUCGGUCAAGGAUGAGCUCGCGGCCUAUCAGCUAGUUGGUGAGGUAAUGGCUCACCAAGGCGACGACGGGUAGCCGGCCUGGGAGGGUGACCGGCCACACUGGGACUGAGACACGGCCCAGACUCCUACGGGAGGCAGCAGUGGGGAAUAUUGCACAAUGGGCGCAAGCCUGAUGCAGCAACGCCGCGUGAGGGAUGACGGCCUUCGGGUUGUAAACCUCUUUUAGUAGGGAAGAAGCGAAAGUGACGGUACCUGCAGAAAAAGCACCGGCUAACUACGUGCCAGCAGCCGCCGUAA